GGAACGGGAAGGCUGUUUUUUCUAAUCGAUUAAAUGAUCGAUCUUCGUCAUUGGGCGGAUUAUGUAAAUAAUCAAUGGGGACGAAUUCCAGAAAUUGUGUCGGUGCAUAAUUGUUGCAUUCGCACCAACAAUGAUUCCGAGGCUUACAAUCGACAAUUCACACCUCGAGCCGGAGGUAAAUCCCCUCCCGUCUUCUCAUUCAUUCGAAACUUGCAAGAGAUACUGCGAGAUGAAGUGACGAAUAUGACACGAAUGAAGAAUGGGCUACCGAUUGUGAAGACCAAGCUCAUGGAGAUAAGGUUUAAUCGGGACAUGUGUCUUUUAGUGGCACAAAAAAAUGUAUCUAAACAAGAAAUUACUCUAGAUGAAAUAUAUACAUUUCUGAAGCAAUGUCUACCCGAAGAGCAAUCGAAGAGAAUUGAUGAAGAACAACGUAUCAGUUUGCGGGACAAUGUUACAAGUUAGUUAGAAUUUAACUGUUAAAUCAUAUUGGAAUUUUGGAUUCCCCAUAGAGCAUUUUGAAAAUUAUCAAUUUCUAUAGGAGAAAUGUAGGGGCGGGAAAAAUCCCAUCGUAGCAAUUAAGAAAUUUAAGCAAACCCUCGGCCAAGACCCCUUUUUUGCCGAGGGUAAUAGACUGACGGCCUAGGUAAGGUUUAUUGAGGGUUUUAUUGGGGAUAGACCUUUUGGCGACAGUCUGGCGCGCACGUGUGGGGAAAUGCAGGGGAAUUUCACGCAGGGAAAUUAAGAGUUUGCCUCCCCCAAAAAUGUUGCCAUUUUGGGUAUGCGUAGGAGUGGGGGU